UUAAUAUUUGAAAAUUACAAAAUAAAUUUUUUCUAGUAAGGAUUAUACACAUGUUAUAAACAAUAACUCUUAAGAUUAAGAAUUUUACGUGUAUAAAAAUUAAUCGAAUAUAUUUAAAAAUUCUCGUUGCAACUAAGUUUCAAUCCGACAUACAAAGUAUAUAUAAAGCACAGCUAGUUAUUGAUUUGUAAUAUCAAUAAAUGUCCGCUAUAGAACAAAAUGUCAGUAAAUACUACAAAUAUACUCAUAAGUUAAGUACAUAUGUCAACAUAUCAACCAGUCCUAUGCAUAGUGAUAUCUCUCUUUUGUUGAAUAAAAUUCCAACUGACGUGGUGCUUAAAUUGCUUUAAAUAUUAUUGUAAUCGGGCAUCAAUUUAUAUUCUAAAUAAAGGAGGAAUGGUAUUUCAAAGUUUAAACAUAUAAAAAACCUACAUGUAGUAAACAAAUAUAUUAGGAAAAUUAAAGCAUGUCAAGUUAUUUUAACCAGUCGUAAUUGAAUUCGUUUAGCUUUUUAUAUACGUAUGUAUGUACGUAGUACAUGCACAUAUAUAAAGGAGCAGCAGAACACCACUUUAAAUAUUAAGCAAAAUGAACUUUACGUGGGGACUACUUUUGAUUAUUGGCGCUGCCUUGGCAGGAAAUCCAUUGGACGAGUGGCUGGCACCAAGUGACAUCCAAGAAUGAGAUGAAUAAUAAAAAAAAUUUUAAAAAUAUGUAAAUCUCAAAAUAUACAACUUAAAGAACAUUACAUUAACUGUAUUUUAUUUAAUAAUAAUACAAUUAAGAAAGAUACCCGCUACCAUUUUGAAUAAAAGCUAAAAAGCGUGGUUUUAACAUACGAAUGUAGUAUGUGCUUAUAUAGAAGAGCCGCAGAACACAACUUUAAAUAUUAAGCAAGAUGAACUUUACUUGGGGACUACUUUUGAUUAUUGGCGCUGCCUUGGCAGGAACAACCGCCAAUUGGAUAGCACCAAGUGACAUUAAAGAAUGAUUGUUAUAUAUAUAAAAUGAAUAGUUUCCAAAAUAAAGAGCCUACAAAACAUUA